GAUGAACGCUGGCGGCGUGCCUAACACAUGCAAGUCGAACGAUGAAACCGCCCUCGGGCGGACAUGAAGUGGCGAACGGGUGAGUAACACGUGACCGACCUGCCCCCCGCCCAGGGACAGCCCCCCGAAAGGGGGAUUAAUACCUGGUACUCCGGAAGCGGCGCAUGCCGCCCCGGGGAAAGCUCUGGCGGCGGGGGAUGGGGUCGCGGCCCAUCAGGUAGACGGCGGGGCAGAGGCCCACCGUGCCGACGACGGGUAGCCGGGUUGAGAGACCGACCGGCCACAUUGGGACUGAGAUACGGCCCAGACUCCUACGGGAGGCAGCAGUGGGGAAUUUUGCGCAAUGGGGGCAACCCUGACGCAGCAACGCCGCGUGCGGGACGAGGGCGUCCGCGUCGUAAACCGCUUUCAGCGGGGAACACCUAACGAGGGUACCCGCAGAAGAAGCCCCGGCUAAAUACGUGCCAGCCGCCGCCGUAACAC
rnacentral:rRNA from 1 species